rnacentral:rRNA from 1 species
AUGGAAGCAGAAUUAACAACAUUAGACACAUCAGGUGUCGAAGCAGGAUGGCUUCGAGAUCUUUUGAUGGACUUGCCAUUGGUUGAUAAACCGGUUCCGGCUAUCCUUAUGAACUGUGACAAUCAGACUGUCAUCACUAAGGUGAAGAGUUCAAAGGACAACAUGAAGUCCAAUAAACACAUAAGAAUGAGACUAAAAGCUGUCAGAAAACUAAGAAACUCCGGAGUGAUAGCGUUGGAGUAUGUCCAAACGGCUAAGAAUCUGGCAGAUCCCUUUACAAAAGGGCUAUCGCGUGUUGUGAUAGAUAAUGCAUCGAGGGAGAUGGGUAUGAGACCCACAUGA